rnacentral:lncRNA from 1 species
UACUACACACGACGAAACAUUCCGAAUUACAAUCAACGAACUAAGAUUUCCAAUAGAGCUCAAUUCACGUAAUUUGAACAUCAAUACCUUAAAUUGCGCCUAAAUGGAAAGGUAUAGCACCCUAAUUCAUGCUCUCGAACACCCUGCGAGCAUCAAUUGCAAUUUAGAAAAGCAAAUUAUGCCACUUGAAACACUCGAUUCACUUCAUUCUUCCUUUUCAUGCAUACUAUUUCCUUUCUUUUCUUUUCUUUCUUUUCUUUUCCAUCUCUUUCUCUCUUGCAUUCUCUCUUUCUUUCCUUCUCACUCUUUUCUUUCUUCUUCUUCUUUCAUCUCUUCUUUUUCUUUCUCUUUUUAUUUUUUUUUUUCCUUGCUGCCCCUGCAGCAGCAGCAGGGCAGCUUGCAGCAGCAGCUGCUGUUGCUGCUACAGUACCCGCAGCAGCAGUAGCUUGCUGCUGCUGCUACAGUACCCGCAGCAGCAGCAGGGCAGCAAAGCUGCAGCAGCAACAGGGGAAGAAGAGAGGGGAAGGAAAGAAAGAAGAAAAGAAGAAGAGAAAAAGAAAGAGAAAAUGGAGGAAAGAAGAAAGGAAAGGGAGAGAGAAAAAAAAAAAAAACCUUCAAUCUUUUCUUCUUCUUUUUCUUCUACUACUAUCUUUCUCUCUCUCUCUCUCAUUUCCUUUCUUUUCUUCUCCAUCAGGCUGAGGGGUGAGGGAAGGGAUAAGGAUGGAGAGUUGCCCAUUUGCAACUUAGUCCAAAAUUUUUUUGCUAUUUGCAAUAUGGCCCUCAUAAUGAAAUGUUGGCUCAGAUCAUCCGGUUUCGCGUCAAUUUCGCGCCAAAACGGUUUCACCUCAUUUCCACUCUUCUUCUCACACCUACACACGUGACAAAAAUCCGUAUCUUACCAUGGUGGAGAGAGGUGUAAUGGCUGCAGGAGGUGGUCAAAGUGAUGGUAGCAAUGACAUGUUGCCAACAGGGAUUAAGUUCAAAGAGGUGACUAUGGCUGCUCACUUUCAUUCUACCCUGGAAAAAGGAAAGCGAAUGACAUUGUUCUGUAGAAAAGCCUAUAAAUCCUUGACUGGCAUAUUGAAUAUCUUUUGAGUAAAAAACGAA